UACAGAGGUCCCGAGCGUUGUUCGGAUUCACUGGGCGUAAAGAGUGUGUAGGCGGUGUUCUAAAUUUGUCGUGAAAUCUCCCGGCUUAACUGGGAGGGUGCGGCGAAAACUGGAAUGCUAGAGGAUGGGAGAGGUAAGCGGAAUUCCUGGUGUAGCGGUGAAAUGCGUAGAUAUCAGGAGGAACACCUGUGGUGUAGACAGCUUACUGGACCAUUUCUGACGCUGAGGCGCGAAAGCGUGGGGAGCGAACAGG
rnacentral:rRNA from 1 species